rnacentral:rRNA from 1 species
GCUGCCAAGAAAGAGCCGCUCAGGGAGGUUAUUUGUUGCCCGUACCGGAAACCGACACAGGUGGACGAGGGUAGUACCCAAAGGCGCACAAGAGAACCCCUGUUAAGGAACUCGGCAAAAUGCGCGUGUAACUUCGGGAUAAGCGUGGCCUCAAGUAGGUGAUGGGGAGAAACCGAAGCUGAAAGAGGUUGCAAAAAAGAGGCUCUGGCGACUGUUUACCAAAAACACAGAUCUCUGCUAAGACUUAAGUCUAAGUAUAGGGAUUGAGACCUGCCCGGUGCCAGAAGGUUAAAGAAGGGGGUCAACGGGGUAACCCGUGAAGCUCUUGACUGAAGCCCUGGUAAACGGCGGCUGUAACUAUAACAGUCCUAAGGUAGCGAAAUUCCUUGUCGGGUAAGUUCCGACCUGCAUGAAUGGUAUAACGACUGGAGCGCUGUCUCAACAGGGGACUUGGUGAAAUUGAAGUAUCGGUGCAAAUACCGGUUACCCGCAGCUAGACGGUAAGACCCUGUGAACCUUUACUGUACCCUGGCAUUGUAUUCUGGCACGUUCUGUGUAGGAUAGGUGGGAGGCUAUGAAGCGUGGGCGCCAGCUUGCGUGGAGCCAACCUUGAAAUACCACCCUUAACGUGUCGGACUACUAACGGAUGCUGUGGAAGCAUCUAGACAGUGUCAGGCGGGCAGUUUGACUGGGGCGGUCACCUCCCAAAGUGUAACGGAGGUGUACGAAGGUUCCCUCGAGCUGUAUAGAAAUCAGCUGAAAGAGCGUAAAGGUAUAAGGGAGCUUGACUGCGAGAGAGACAUCUCGAGCAGGGACGAAAGUCGGUCUUAGUGAUCCGGUGGUUUUUGUAUGGAAAAGCCAUCGCUUAACGGACAAAAGGUACUCCGGGGAUAACAGGCUGAUACCGCCCAAGAGUUCACAUCGACGGCGGUGUUUGGCACCUCGAUGUCGGCUCAACUCAUCCUGGGGCUGAAGUAGGUCCCAAGGGUUCGGCUGUUCGCCGAUUAAAGAGUUACGUGAGCUGGGUUCAGAACGUCGUGAGACAGUUCGGUCCCUAUCUACUGUGGGCGCUGGAUAUUUGAGGGGAGCUGUUCCUAGUACGAGAGGAUCGGAAUGGACGUACCUCUGGUGCACCAGUUGUCGUGCCAACGGCACAGCUGGGUAGCUAUGUACGGAAGGGAUAACCACUGAAAGCAUCUAAGUGGGAAGCCUCCCCCAAGAUUAGAUAUCCCUCAAGGUUCCAGGUAGACUACCUGGUUGAUAGGUCGCAGGUGUAAGUACAGUAAUGUAUUCAGCCGAGCGAUACUAAUAAACCGUUUGACUUGCCCCU